UAAGACAAUCGAUUGUUAAACAUAGACAAUCGAUUGUUGACAAUUUUUGAAAAAAUCCCAGAUUACACUGUUUUAAAGACAAUCGAUUGUUGAUCAUUGACAAUCGAUUGUUGACUGUUUUUGAAAAAAAAAUUCCAGAUCACUGUUUUAAAGACAAUCGAUUGUUGAUCAUUGACAAUCGAUUGUAGACUGUUUUUGAAAAAUUCCAGAUCACACUGUUUUAAAGACAAUCGAUUGUUGAUCAUU
rnacentral:lncRNA from 1 species